UAGACCCUGCAAGGAACUGGGGUCAUCCGUGCAGCUGCCUCCCGCUGCUUGGUCCUGUCAGGUUGGCGAUAUGAGCUAUGACACCGCCAUCCCCAUCACCAACAUCACUGUUUCCACCACCAUCAUCAUCACCGCUGAGCUGGUUCAUUUUCAUCAACUUGACACAGAUUAGAGAUGCCUGGGAAGAGGGAUCCUCAACUGAGGAACUGCAUGCAUCCGAUUGGUCUGUGGGGCACUUACUUGGUUGUUGACUGACAGGUGUGGGCUCAGUCUAUUGUGGGCAGUGCCGAUACUGGGCAGGUAGCAAGGGAAGUAUAAGGAAGGUAGUGGAAUGGGGACCUGGAAGUAAGCCAGUAAGCAGUGCCUCUGCAUGGUUUCGUCUUCAAGCUCCUGCCUUAGCUUUCUUUAGUGAUGGA
rnacentral:lncRNA from 1 species